UGUCUCAUGGUGUAAUGGUAGCACUGCAGAUUCUGGAUCUGCCUGUCAAGGUUCGAAUCCUUGUGAGACAA
rnacentral:tRNA from 1 species